UGAGAGUAGAAUGUCACAAAACGACUGGCCU
rnacentral:piRNA from 1 species